AGUGAACGCUGGCGGUAGGCCUAACACAUGCAAGUCGAACGGCAGCACAGUAAGAGUUUGCUCUUACGGGUGGCGAGUGGCGGACGGGUGAGGUAUACAUCGGAACCUACUUUUUCGUGGGGGAUAACGCAGGGAAACUUACGCUAAUACCGCAUACGACCUACGGGUGAAAGCAGGGGAUCUUCGGACCUUGCGCGAUUGAAUGAGCCGAUGCCGGAUUAGAUAGUUGGCGGGCUAAAUGCCCACCAAGGCGAGGAUCCGUAGCUGGUCUGAGAGGAUGGUCACCCGCACUGGAGCUGGGACGGCGUCAAGAGGACUGAGAGAGGGAGCAGUGGGGAAUAGUGGGCAGUGGGCGAGAGCCUGAUCCAGCCAUCGGACGUGGGUGAAAGCGGCCUUGGGGUUGUAAAGACCUUUUGUUGGGAGAGAAAAGCAGUAGGUUAAUACCCCGCUGUUGUGACGGUAACCAAAGAAUAAGCACCGGCUAACUUCGUG
rnacentral:rRNA from 1 species